UAGACAACCAGAGGUGACCCACCAUCAC
rnacentral:piRNA from 1 species